UACAAAGUUACACAAGAAGAAUUGGCCCUUGACCAGCCUGAUUGGUUGCAGGAGGGGACCAAUCAGAGGUACCUCCCAUUUUUCAUCUGCAGCCCAAUGCAAAGUAAUGACAUGGAUCUGGAGAGAUUCUCUUAGGAGAGAAUCUGGCUAAGUGUCUAGCAGGAUGAUUGAUUAACAAGAUGUUUUGUUUUCAUCAUCUCAGAGAUAAGUACAACUAUUCUGUCAUCUAAUCUGCUAACUCCUACAUUAUCAAUACGCUGUAUUGAGGUAUAAUUGAUAUGCCAAAUAACUGGACACAUUCAACUUGUGCAAUUUGAUGAGUUUGGAGAUACACAUACAUCUGUGAAACCAUCACCAAAAUCAAGGAAAAAGAGUCUGAUUGACAUAACUUGUCAAGUGUUCGCCCCAGCUUCUAUCAACUAUGGGGAAGGAAGGGCCAGAAGAGGUGUAACCAUCAUGGCUACCAGGUUUCGAAAUAUUUACAUUACAUACUGCAUUUAUUAAAAUACAAAUUAAAUCUGCAAUAAAAAA
rnacentral:lncRNA from 1 species